rnacentral:lncRNA from 1 species
UCUGGAAUGAGAUUUCCCAUCAGUAUAUUAAGAUUAUCAUAUCAUUUUCUGGGCACUGAGAACAUGAGCUGGCCCUGUCUUUUUGAAAAUGUAAAAACCUGCAGCCUACGCAUGCUGACGCAGCUCCCCACCCGGAGUAGAACAGGUUUCCAGAGAUUUUUCAUUUAUUUCGAGGAAGAAGAGGAGUGAGUUGCCUGCAAGUCUUGCCUUCAGGUACAGUGGGCUUCUUAACUCUGUACUGUACAGUAUGUGCAAAAACAACAUAACACAAACAAACCACCUCCUUCCCAGUAACCCCAAGCCAGAGAUCUUUGGAGAUUUU